UAAUACGUCUGGGCGUUUACU
rnacentral:piRNA from 1 species